ACGGUUGUAUUCCAAUCCGUUAAAUUACUAGUCGCAUAUUAGACAUAGUGUUGUGCGCAUUAUUUAUUUUUUUGUAUAUACAUGUCUAAAACCUGAUCAGGCUUUAAUUAAUCGACGCAUGUCUGUCGAGCCGACGGGAGGGAUGCUGGCGUUUCUGCGUGGAUUUAUCAUGUCAGACUGCCGGUGCUGGGAUGCGGGCAGCAAGAGAAACUACGAGGAGCUGUUUGAAAAACUAGACACCAAUAAAGAUGGGAAAGUUGACGUAGCAGAGCUGCGUUCUGGGCUCAUAGCGAUGGGGAUAGCCCUGCGUACUGCCGAGGCUCAGAAAAUUCUGGCCACUGGUGACAAGAACAGGGACGGUGUGCUUGACUUCGCUGAGUUUGCCCGAUACCUGAAAGAGCACGAGAAGAAACUGUGGCUCACAUUUAAGAGCUUGGACAAGAAUAAUGAUGGUAGACGUCUGGAUGCCUGUGAGAUCAAGCAGUCUCUGGCUGAACUAGGAAUGGACAUAUCCACAGAAGCAGCACAGAAAAUCCUACAUAGCAUUGACAUUGAUGGCACCAUGACUGUGGACUGGAACGAGUGGAAGGAACACUUCAUGUUCAAGCCUACCACAGACCUGGAAGAAAUUAUUAGAUACUGGAAACACUCCUCGCAGCUGGACAUUGGUGAUAAUCUCGUCAUUCCUGAUGAGUUCACUGACGAGGAGAAGAUUUCUGGUGUUUGGUGGAAACAGCUAGUUGCUGGGGCAACAGCAGGGGCAGUUUCUCGAACAGGCACUGCACCUUUGGAUAGAAUAAAGGUUUUUAUGCAGGUUCAUGCAUCCAGGUCAAACCAAAUCAGUCUAGUGGGGGGGUUCAAACAGAUGCUUAACGAAGGAGGAGUGAUAUCUCUGUGGAGGGGAAAUGGCCUCAAUGUGUUAAAAAUUGCCCCUGAGACUGCUAUCAAAUUCAUGGCGUAUGAACAGUAUAAGAAGUAUCUUUCGUCCGAGGGUGAUAAAAUAGAGACAGCACAGAGAUUCAUGGCUGGCUCGUUAGCCGGUGCCACAGCACAAACUUCCAUUUAUCCCAUGGAGGUAUUGAAGACGAGACUGACCCUGAGGAAUACCGGACAGUAUUCAGGCAUGAUCGAUUGUGCCAGGUCGAUUCUGAAACAAGAGGGUAUUAAAGCUUUCUAUAAAGGUUACAUUCCCAACAUGUUGGGCAUUAUCCCUUACGCUGGCAUCGACCUUGCUGUUUAUGAGAGCCUAAAGAAUGCCUGGCUCGCAAACUAUGCCAAAGACACAGCCAACCCUGGUGUUCUGGUCCUGCUUGGCUGUGGUACUGUCUCCAGCACGUGUGGGCAGCUGGCCAGCUACCCUCUGGCUCUGAUACGGACUCGUAUGCAGGCACAAGCAUCGCUCAGUAAUUCGGAGCAGCCCUCUAUGAGGUCACUCGUUAAGAGCAUCGUUGCGAAAGAAGGCUUUUUCGGGCUCUAUCGGGGGAUCCUACCCAACUUUAUGAAGGUCAUUCCAGCUGUCAGCAUCAGCUACGUAGUGUACGAAUACACAAAAUCAUCCCUGGGUAUCUCAAAAUAAAUGUCACUGGGCCAUGUUCCCAAAUCACAGCAUAGAAGAGCUACAGUCCAGGAUCUGUAUAUCUUCUUAUUCAUGAUUCAAGCCUCAUGAAUCCAGGCUGGUUUUGCCACGUUACAACAAACGUUUCCGUCUGCACUAAAAAAGAACAGAAUAAGACUUUUGAAACCUAUAAAAUUGUAUCAGUAGAGUCUUAUUUAUAAGGUCGAAGAACUGGGAUAGACUCAUGUAUACUGUAAUUCAACUACAUUAUUUAAUUAUAAUUAUGUAUAUCAUAUUUAAUUUUGUAUGUGUUCAUUAUUUGUUUAUUUAAAGUUGUAGUAAUAGAAAGGCCUGGUCACUGCACUUCCUUGUGACAUGCUACGACCUCUUUAUGGUGUCUAAGCAUGUAAAAAUCUGAUCUCUGUGAAUGGUCGUUUUAUUUCUGUUGUAUAUAUUCAUUAUACUGAUGUAUUCAAAUGUGUAGUUUAACUUCCACAUUAGUAAAUAAUAAUAAAACAUCUGUUCCAAAAUCUGCACCCGUAAAAUAGUACAACAGGGUUCAAGUGAAACUGGGACUGAAAUUUCAUGUGAAGGCGUGUACUCAUGAAACCUUUCUUUCUACCUUGAUGGUAUAAAAGCACUAGUGAAAUGAUAAGUGCAUUAGUGUAUCAGGGGAUUAUGUAGAGAAAUAAAGGUAGUUUCUACUUUCGUAACUGUGUUUAUCAUUCUGUACAAUUAAAAGUCCUGGUUUGAUUUGAACCCCCCCCUUGUAAAAAUCUAUCCUCCAGAAAUGAGGAGAGAGGGAAUACCAUAAUUCCAUGGCAAGCCAAAAAAAGGCAAGGUGGUCCAAAUAUGUGUGUAUAAGGAGAAUGAUUGGAAAAAUGCAUUAGAUAUUUACAAUACUGCAUCAUCUAUACUUAUCCGCUGUACUGUUUCAUGAUCAAGCUUUGAGACAGAGACAGAAGCUCAGGGUCAGACAGUAGAGGCAGUUUUUUUUUCCACCGUACUACAUUUGUUUUCAUUUCUUAGUGAUAUAAUGUCUGGAUACUGAGCCUUGUUUUAUGAUCUUUAAGCAAAUCAGUAGACAUACUGUAAGUAUUAAUGUUUCGCAAAUUCAGGAGCUUUCGUAAGAUUUGAUUUUCCAAACCAACUGAUUUUAAUAACUACCAACUUUCUUGUAUAAAUGCUCCUACCAUUGAUUGAUGAAUAAACUGUCUAGUAUCUGGAUGUACCGAACUCCAAAAUAAUCUAGAACCACAUUGAAGUAUGUGACUUGAGAUGACUUUAGCUUUAGUCUAACCUUAAGACUUAUCUUAAAAUUUGCAUUCGUACCAAGAUGCUAAUUAAACGGCAUGCUAACACUUAGCCUAUAUCUUUAUGUGGAUAAUGACCGAGGUUGAAGGUAAAUCCUAAUGCACAAUGUUAAAAGUAACUGUUUAUGUUUGGAUUCUAAUGCUUAAAUAAAUAGCACGCUCAUUUAUCUUGUCUAUAUUGUAUAAAGAGUCUGUGGUUUUAGAGUCAAAGUCUCAGUGCAUGGACAUAUAGUAUACUAAAUAAUGUCUGGAAGACACUCUUUCUUAUUAUGGAGAGUGCACUACUCUUGGGAUUGUGCCAGUGUUGUCAUGGUAACCGAGCAACCAUGACUGGCCUUUGGACCUCCUAAAAGCUUGUGAUGUCGACAGGACAAGUUUGUUGUUGUCAGCACUUCUUGUCUUGAACAAAGAUCCUAGGACAAAAUGCUUUGUUGUUUUGUACCC